rfam:Capsella rubella cultivar Monte Gargano unplaced genomic scaffold scaffold_1, whole genome shotgun sequence.
GUCGAGCUUAGUAACGUUGGCUUGUGAUCCGAGUGGAGACAAUAAGGUGAUGGGACAUUGGGCCAAUCUCAUUGGGCCGGGUUCGGGUUUGGCUUUCUACUGGCCUGCCCAUUCCAAGUCGGGAGAUAAGAGUUCGGUUCUGAGCGAAAGCUUGGGUUUGACCUCUCUUACAGCGGAGGAGACUGCGUGAGGCUGGUUUCACAGAGCAGCUUUCACCUCCCGCUUUCGACGGUGGAAGGAUUACAGGCCGGUGCCUUCCGAGUCCAGUAUGACCCAAUUAGCUGACUACAACUGGACCAUCAUUUUU